GUAGGGUGCGAGCGUUAAUCGGAAUUACUGGGCGUAAAGCGUGCGCAGGCGGUGAUGUAAGACAGGUGUGAAAUCCCCGGGCUUAACCUGGGAACUGCAUUUGUGACUGCAUCGCUGGAGUGCGGCAGAGGGGGAUGGAAUUCCGCGUGUAGCAGUGAAAUGCGUAGAUAUGCGGAGGAACACCGAUGGCGAAGGCAAUCCCCUGGGCCUGCACUGACGCUCAUGCACGAAAGCGUGGGGAGCAAACAGGAUUAGAUACCCUGGUAGUCCACGCCCUAAACGAUGUCAACUGGUUGUUGGUCCUUCACUGGAUCAGUAACGAAGCUAACGCGUGAAGUUGACCGCCUGGGGAGUACGGCCGCCUGGUUG
rnacentral:rRNA from 1 species